rnacentral:rRNA from 1 species
AUUGAACGCUGGCGGCAGGCCUAACACAUGCAGGUCGAGCGGCAGCGGAAAGUAGCUUGCUACUUUGCCGGCGAGCGGCGGACGGGUGAGUAAUGUCUGGGAAACUGCCUGAUGGAGGGGGAUAACUACUGGAAACGGUAGCUAAUACCGCAUGACCUCGAAAGAGCAAAGUGGGGGAUCUUCGGACCUCACGCCAUCGGAUGUGCCCAGAUGGGAUUAGCUAGUAGGUGAGGUAAUGGCUCACCUAGGCGACGAUCCCUAGCUGGUCUGAGAGGAUGACCAGCCACACUGGAACUGAGACACGGUCCAGACUCCUACGGGAGGCAGCAGUGGGGAAUAUUGCACAAUGGGCGCAAGCCUGAUGCAGCCAUGCCGCGUGUGUGAAGAAGGCCUUAGGGUUGUAAAGCACUUUCAGCGAGGAGGAAGGCAUCAUACUUAAUACGUGUGGUGAUUGACGUUACUCGCAGAAGAAGCACCGGCUAACUCCGUGCCAGCAGCCGCGGUAAUACGGAGGGUGCAAGCGUUAAUCGGAAUUACUGGGCGUAAAGCGCACGCAGGCGGUUUGUUAAGUCAGAUGUGAAAUCCCCGCGCUUAACGUGGGAACUGCAUUUGAAACUGGCAAGCUAGAGUCUUGUAGAGGGGGGUAGAAUUCCAGGUGUAGCGGUGAAAUGCGUAGAGAUCUGGAGGAAUACCGGUGGCGAAGGCGGCCCCCUGGACAAAGACUGACGCUCAGGUGCGAAAGCGUGGGGAGCAAACAGG